CUGCGGCGGCCGCUUGGCUACAAGCUGGCCAAGGCCACCAAGGAGCGCAUCUGGCGGGGGGAGUUCAUUGACCUGUUUUCCUUGCUCCACACAGAGCUGGCCCCCGAGCACGGCCCGCGCCCGGGGGACACGCUGGACCAGUGGGUCUCGGCCUUCCUGGUGUACGCCAGCGUGCUGUGCGAGAAGCACCCGGCGCGCUGCGGAGCCAUGUUCAAGUACCUGGACACCAUCCGCAAGCUGCACGCCACCUACGGGGGCACCUCCUGGAUGAACUACGAUGAGGAUUUCCGACGGCGGGCGGCCAAGAACCCCUCACUGCCCUGGGGCGACGUGGACUUGGACCUGUGGAUGAAGUGGAUGGCGCCCCUCAAGUCGCUCGUCCCCAGGCGCCCGCGUGCUGAGAGCGAGAGACAGGCCUCGCCGGCCCAGCCGCCACCGCCGGGCCAGAGCCCCAAGCAGGAGGACAAAAGCCAGGUGUGAUGGGCCGAUGGCCGCGUGUUUCUCUGCUCCGCUGCCUGGGCAUGGUGCUCCCUCGGAUGGGAAGAGGAGAAAGGGGCAGUUGGGGUGCCCUUGUGUUGGCCGGCACCUCUCAUUUCAUGGCACUGACCCUUUGCUCGUGUUGACCAUAGGGACACGGUAUCAUGGGUGUCCAGCUGGCCACUCUGAGAGGUGUGCAUGUGGAUGGAUGCUCUGAGCAAAUGUUUGAGCAUUUAUUACUCCAGCCACCAGAAAAUAGGAACCCCACUAAUUCCUUCUUCUGGUGUAUUUUUGCAUUUUCCGGAAGACAUUAGAAGAAAGAUGUUCUGUGGUUUUGUUCUUUUCCUCUGAGUUGUCUUUAAAAAAAACAACUUUAUCAGCAAUACAGUUAUCUGUAUGUAAGGCAAAGAGUACAGACUAUUCUGUUACUAUGGGAGCAUGUGGGCAGUUGCAGGCAGCAUGAGAUGGCAAAAAAUUAAUAUGAAUAAAGAUAAACUUCAAUAAGAAUGGCCACAGUGUGCAAAUUUACCGUGAUUUGAAAAUGAAACCUGUUUUGGGGCUCACUAGAUUUAAUCCACAAGUUAGAGCCUGUUUUAUGGGAAAAGAUGAUGAGUGUGAUUAGAAGUAGGGAGGAUUUUGUGUACUUGGUUUGCUUUCAGUACAGGCAUCACUGUAUGAGUUGGUAUAACCUGUGGUGGAUGCCAGGAGGUUUAGCCUUUCUCCUGCCUGAGGCAUGAUGCUGAGCUCUGCAGCUACAGCGGCCUGCCUGUCUAUAUUAGAGGUUGUGGUGCUUCUCUUAGACUGGUGACUGCAGUCUGCCAAAUCCCCAGCACAGAAAAUGCUGAAUGUUGAGUUUCAUGCCAGCUGAAUGAGGACAGAGAGAUUCCGUUAUAUUGGCUAUGCGUAUUUGUAACCUUUUUUUUUUUUUUUUUUUUGCACCUGUAGAAAGAAACUUUGCCUUCCAGAAUAUUUUUUGUUGCUUUGUCAGAUGCUGUGAUUGCUUGGGAUUGCCAGCACAGAGAGACUAAGUUCUUUGACUCAUGUUAGCCUGGUCCCUUUUCAGGGCAUCUGAAAGUGCUUGGUGUAUCACACCAAGUCUUGCCUUUGGUACUUAUCAAAAGUAAUUUCUCUAGGCCAGCCUGUGACAAAGGGAGCAAACACCAGGCAGUAAGAUAGAUAAAUCCAGGCCUGUUGGCCUUGCACCAUCUGUGGUUCAUGCUUUGUGUUCUUCAAUUUUUUCUGAUAUGUCUGUUUACAUUUCUCUAUUCUCAAGGUGAACAGCUCAGUCCUUGUUUUCCUACAGAUCUUAUGUGUGCACCAGAUGGGCAAUGGCUUAUAGCUUUCAUCUCAUUUGAGACUGGACCUUCAGCUUGUCAUGUUAACCACUCUUGUAACUUCUUCCACAGCAGCUGGUCUGUCACUGCUGAGCUUUGCUUGGUUGUCUGCUGAGGCACCAGGGGUCUUGAUCCCAUUUGAUUCCAUGGAAAUUUCCUAGUUGAUUUUUAUCAAUAGCAUUGAUGUAUUUUUCCCCUAGAAAGUGUGUAAAGAAAAAAUAAACAUGUUUAUUUUAACUCCUAAAAAUACCAAAAGUCUGAUGUUUGUAAAAUGACUAGUACUUUAGCAGCACAAUGAAAAAGUGAAACUUGUGCAAUUAAUUGUUGUGGUUUCAGCCACUUUUCUGUUAUUAGAGCAGUUUUUAACUGGUAGCAUAUAGUCUCUUACAACUAUUCCAAAAUGUCCUUAAAUGAAGCUAUGGUUUAGGCAGCUGUCAAAUGUCAGUGAGGCCUAUGAUAAAACAUGAGUUUAUCAUUGGCAAGGUCGCAGCAAGGAAAUAUUUUUUUACACGUGACCUUUGUGUUUCCCCAUAUCUCCCCAGCUCCUUGCAAGCUCUCUUUAUGUUGUAUAAAACUACUUCAGCAAAAUACGAUGUGGUAUCACACUUGGACAAAAGAACUGGAGAAUUAAAAUGGGAGAGAAUAGCCUUUUAUGGGCUUAAGACUUUGGACAGAAUCUAAGCUUUUCCACAUUCAUGCUAUCAAGAGGAAGACGAGGUGUUUUACAAAAACCUUUUUUACCAGGCUGUUGGUUUGAAAUUAUUUUCUUUUUGUAGUUUUGAGGGAUAGUGUUAGGCAGCCUGACGGGAUUUUAUUUCCCCUUUUAGUCCACGACUCGUUGAAUAUCAGCAUCAUUUAGUUUAGUGCCUGUAUCUCUAAUUCUGCAUUUCCACAGAUGAUUAAACAGUAAAAAUUAGGUCGAAGCAUACAAAAUGCUGUGUCUGAAGACAGCUGUCCUUUCUAAGGCAAUGGUGAAGACUGUAACUUUGCAUUACAUGGAAAGAACAAUGUGAGAAAUCCUAGUUUUAGUUGGAGUGCAGUAAUUGGCGCAUAUGUAGGAUAGCUGAGAUUCAUUCCUGCAAGUUUAUGUCUGUGUGUAUAACUUCAGACAACUCUCUUUUUUUCCCCAGACUCCAUGAAAACAGAAGACCAAUUGGGAUGGGAGUCAGACUAAGUGGCCUGACUCCGUUGGUGUUUAAGGAGCUCUGGUAUUCUAGUGCAUUCUUUUACCUCUGCUUCUGUUGCGUUGCAAGCUGUGCUAGAGAAGACGUAGGAAGUUCAUUUUACCCAAUCAGCAAUUGUAACAAUGGACUACCAACCUGCAGAGCAAGCCAGUUUGCUGGAAAACAGGAAUUCCUGCAGCGCAGCACUUGUCACAGACUACCCAAAGAGGGCAAAGAUUCAGGAAGGUGAAUAAAUUGAACACUGGUUGAAUGAGGUCAGGAACACUCUCCCGGAGGAGAAUCCUGCCCUAAAAUACUGCUUUGAAAGCAAAAGCCAAUUUAAUGCGCAGAUUAAACCUUCUCAUUUGACCAAACUUCUGUGCAAUCCUGGAUCUUUGCAGAUCACAACCGGACACUUCAAAACCCUGUGUAUUAUAUUUGUUUAAAAAAAAUAAAUCAUAACUUGUCUUGUUACAGCUGUUACUUUUGCCAUUUCAUUGAGAGAGUAGCUGCAACAUAAAUGUGUAUUUGACUCAGAAAAGUAUCAUACACUCGGGAUAAUAACUCAGGUUGUCAACAGAAUUAUUCUGUGAGGCUCAGUAUCCUCUUUCCAUUGUUCUGCAUUAACCAUAGCUGUCAUUGCCAGAUAGCCCAAUUGUGCAUUACAAAAUUCUUUGUCAAUUAUAAUGAUUGACCUAAGUUAUAAUUUUGUUUUUCUAGUAGAAUACUUAAAAAUUCUGACCAUCAGACUAGACCUUUGUAGUCCGGUGUUCAUGAAAAUCUUUUUCAUUGAUUAACAGUUUUCAUUCUGCAUCUCUGUUUUGUUUUCUUCUCCUUUUUCCUUGCAUACUAAGGGGUAUAGUUAAGGUAAUACUAUGAUUCAAUAAUGCUCGUGAUGGUAAGGGUUUGCCUUUAGUUGUUUCAGGAAAAAGCUGCCAUUAUCUCCUCUCCCUCUCUCAAUAUUUCCAAUAAUAUGCAUAACAUAAAGUGUUUGUAAAUUGAUAUCAAACUGUUUGUGACUUCACCUAAAUAAAUUUUUAUAUUUAA
rnacentral:lncRNA from 1 species